AUCCUGGCCUGAAGCAAUCCUCCCGCCUCAGACUCCCAAGGAUCUGGCAGCCUUGGCCCAAGCAAUCCCAGUGGGCGCAUCUUGGGAGCUGACUUUGGGGCCACCUUUCCCCAUGCUGCCUGGGGACCAGAGAACACUGACCGCGGGAAAGACCGAUGCUGCCGAGGCCAGGAGGAGGGGGAGGCCGUCAUCUGUGGGUCCCCAGCAGCGCUUGGGGUCCUGGCCACUCCAGCGGCCCCUUGCACCUGCCUCCAGGGAUCCUUUGUCUUCAAAAUAACCUCCCUCCACCUUCCGGCUCAUAGUGCCUUGGGUGGAUCUGUUCCCAUUUCCCACAAGCCUGCAGGGUGGUGACAGGCCCUCAUUCCCAUGUGCCCCAAGAUUUCGGAUUCCAAAAAUACAUCCCCUGGCUCCCCGGA